rnacentral:sRNA from 1 species
UACCAGCAACAAAGGGGGGGAGUGCCUU